UACGUAGGGGGCAAGCGUUGUCCGGAAUCAUUGGGCGUAAAGGGAGUGCAGGCGGUUGCGUAAGUUAGGCGUGAAAGACUUCGGCUAAACCGGGGGAGGUCGUCUGAUACUGCGUAACUAGAGUGUGGUAGAGGCGUGUAGAAUUCCGGGUGUAGUGGUGAAAUGCGUAGAGAUCCGGAGGAAUACCAGUGGCGAAGGCGGCACGCUGGGCCAUAACUGACGCUAAGACUCGAAAGCAUGGGUAGCGAACGGG
rnacentral:rRNA from 1 species